AACCUUGAAACUGGGUGAAUACAGGGCAAAGAACAUGAAACACAACCAUGGGGCGUCUGAUCACGGGGCCGGGGAGUGCUGGGCUUGGCCUUUGUUUACUGGGGAACAGGAUGAGCAGCCCAGGCCACGAGCUCCAUACGUGGGCUGCCGUCAUCCUGAGUUGUAGUUGAGCACAUUGGACCUCACAGCUGGUUCCCAGCUAAUCUGGUUCCUGGUUAACUGCCUGGUC
rnacentral:lncRNA from 1 species